GAUAUUAUGUGCAGAAACGGUCACUAGCUUAUUCAUGCCAACUGUAUAUUCUAUUCUGAUCUCUUUUGACCCCUACACUUGGUACAGGGAGAAGCUGGAAAUAAGUGCUGGUAAGUUCUAUUUUGUUAAUUAUACUGUGAUUCGUCUCUUCUUUUCUGGGAUCUUAACUGCCUUUGCCUCCAUAAAAUUGAUAAAUGAACACUUUUUUGACUGAUUUCACAUGGUUCCAUAUUGUGGUAAUGGAAAGCAUGUCAUCCUCGUUAUGGACAAAAAACAAUUUAUUCAAGGAAUAAAUUACAGUAGGAGUGUCCGACGCUUGGCCACACUUAUGCUUAACUAGGAUAACUAACAUUGCAACAUAAACAGUGAAUUAUGAGCUAUAUUAUGGUUUAUCAAGAAGCAUAAAAUUCUGUCGUUUCUUACUUGAAGGGAAAAUGUAAAAAAUGAGAAGCAUUGACAUAAAUGGUCAAAUUGCCUAGUCAUAGACGCACUUCACUGUGCUAUAUCUAUUGAGCCUUUAUCUAUUUAUUAGGUAGUAACUUAUUUUCAAGAACAUGGGUUAAUGCCAUUUGCAAUACAGGUAUUAUACGUGCAGGUUGCAGUUAAAGUGGUCGAGCGGUGGAGGGGAUUUUGGUAUUGGGGUGUUCUUAAAGGAGUGGUUUUAGUUGGAGUUGCUAGAUCUUUGAAUUUUUGAACUGUGGUUAUUCAUCAGCAGCAUCUUGUGGAUAUGUUGAAGCUACAUUAGGAUUGCCUCAGUAAUUGCUGAACAAUACUUAGAAAGUGGAUGGUGAAGUUGCCAGUAGAUUUUAGUUAUAGGAGAUUUGUGUAUACAUUUUGGCAAAUAACAUAAACUUGAAGGAAUUCCUCCGUCAGGUCACAGAAGCAUGUCAAAAGAUCCUAUUGUUUGAAUUUGUUUUGGUCAUUCUUGAUAAAUUUGUGUAAUGUACAUUGUGUGUAGGCACAACAUUGAUUUUGUUUAAAGUAUAAUGAAAUAUGCAGCAUUUCCUAUAGCAGCUGGAACUUUUUCUUUUUGUCCAUUUUGGCCAUGCGGUAGUGGAAUUAUGUAUGGCCUUGCGUAGGAUUUGUAAAGAACACUUGGUAUUUAGGAGACUAAUUUUUUACCGUUGUGUUUGUUAUAAAUAGAAUUGUAUUAAAAGUGAAAUCUCUAUAUUUAGAGAGAUUUUAGGGUUUGUUACCGGGGGGCCGAGUCACUUUUCCCUAUAAACAGGGAAGUUCUAUGCCAUUGUAAUUCAUCCCAAAUCAAUAAGAGUUCUCUCUGUUAUCAUGAGACUAACGAAUUGAAUAGAAGCUUUGGGAUUGAGCAUAAUGAUUGUCAAU
rnacentral:lncRNA from 1 species